rnacentral:lncRNA from 10 species
AUUUACUAUAUACGAAGACAGACACUUUCACUUACCUACUACCAUGGAAUACAUUUUAACAACGAUGAAGGCAGAGCCACGUUUUAUAGAAAAAGGGGGAAGAAUAUUUAUUUUAAGAAAGGCAGUUUUAAUGAAUAUAUGGUUGAUUGGGAACCCAUAUAAACAUAUGGGUCUAAAACCAGUGGGUUUAGUACUUUGCAUUUCCUUUUUAUUCUUCAGCCAAGGUGGGGGAUUUCAGUUUUCAGAUCAGAACAGUCAGGUAUAAUAAUAAAUAUAUAACUUGUCAUUUUUUAAGCUUCAGAAAACAGUAAAACAAUACACUUUUUUUUUGUUUUUGUUUUUGUUUUUUGUUUGUUUGUUUGUUUGUUUGAGGCAGAAUCUCGCUCUGUCACCCAGGCUGGAGUGCAGUAGCGCAAUCUCUGCUCACUGCAAGCUCCGCCUCCUGGGUUCACAGCAUUCUCCUGCUUCAGCCUCCCGAGUAGCUGGGACUACAGGACCCGCCACCACGCUCGGGUAAUUUUUUGUAUUUUUAGUAGAGACGGGGUUUCACCGUGUUAGCCAGGAUGGUCUCGAUCUCCUGACCUCCUGAUCUGCCUGCCUCGGCCUCCCAAAGUGCUGGGAUUAUAGGCGUGAGCCACCACGCCCGGCCAAAACAAUAUACUUUUCUCAGAAAGACAGACAGAAGACAGAAAACCGUCAAAGUUAAAAUCAUGAACUUCUGGCAGCGUUGCUGUGGUAUCAGGUCUCACUCUUCUUGUGAACAGAUUGUUCCACCAGACAGCUUUGCCAAUUUGGUAGCAAAUUGGAGCUUUGCUCCUUUGGAGAAGCAAAAUCUAUAACAACUAGUGUGAUAAAUAAGUGAAGGUCAUCGGGACUUCUCCAUUGAAGAGACGACAUUUAAGCUGAGACGUGAAUGAAGGGAAGGAGAUAACCUGGAGGAACAUUCUUGGCAGAAGGAACAGUAAAUGCCUGGGCCUAAAGGUAGGGGUGGGACUUGGUUGUUCUUAAACAGAAUGAGUGACAGGAACAGAAGGGUAAGAUAGGUUACAGAUGAGGGUGCAGACGGAAUCCAGUUAAGACAUUAUGUUUCAUCUUGAGAGAGAUGGAAAGCCUUCAGUAGGCUUAGAUCAGGAGAGUGACAUGACUUAAUAUAUAUAAUCGUAUUUUUCUGACUUCCCUGUAUAACAGAAGAGCAGAGUGAAAGUGGAAGGAAAGCAGAUUGGAGACUGUUGCAACUUUCCAGAAUAAAUGUAUAAUUUUGGAAAAUAUGUAUCCACUGCUCUGAGCUCAACAUGUAUCCACUACUCUGAGCUCAACAGUACCUCAAUACUUGGAUACAUUUUUGAUGAGAUAUUACAAAUGUGAAUUUUUUAUAUUGUAAAAUGAAAUAUGUCAAAAUUUGGAAAUUUGAAAAAUUCUGCAAAAUAAUUUUUUGAAUGAUCAAUGCAUGAUAUUACAAAACCAUUCAACUAUUUUUAAGAAACUACCACUAGUAGAAUUUUGACAUAGACAUUGACAUAGUAUCAAGGAAGGAUAUAAAUAAUUAUACAUAAAAUCUAUUAAAAUACUCUUCCCAUUUUUAACAACGUAUUUGUGUUGAGACAAGAUUUUCUUCACCACACACUUUAACCAGAGCAAUAUGUCAAAAACAGUUUGAAAGCAAAGCAGCUAUUUUCUAUUAAAACAGACAUAAAAGAGAUAUGCAAAUACAUAAAACUCCACUUAGCAAUUUUUUGUAAAAUAUAUUUUAAACAUAAGCUAUUGAUAUUAACAUAUCAUGAGUUUCUUAUUUUUAUAUAAUGAAUAGGUAUUAAAAUAAUCUCACUGUUUUAAUAAUACAGUAAAUGUCAAUGCACGUGAGCCACAAAACAAAAGAAUUUUGGACUCCUUAAUACAUUGUUAGAGUGUAAGUUUGUCCUGAAACCAAAAGUUUUAGAAUUGUGCCUGUAUAAUAUCACAUUGUAUAAAUAUAUUACACGUUGGCUGGGUGCGCCACCACGCCCGACCCACAUUUUUGUUAUUAUGAACAAGUUGCUAUGAUCCAAAUCUGCUAUUUUACAUGUCUCCUUCACUUAGGCAGCAAUUUUUCUAUAGUACAUAAAAGUGUGGAAUUGCUUGGCCACAGGAUAUGUUUAUGCUGAGUUUUAUAAAAUAAUUGCAAUUCGCUUUACAAACUGGUUAUAUUAAUUUAGAUUUCCAUCAUUAAGACAUGAAAGGUUUUCUCUAAAUUAUGACCAAAAAUGAGUGCCGUUAAAUUUUCUUUAAGUUUGACAAUCUAAUAGGUGUAAUAUUAAAUGUUAUUGAACUGAGUGUGUCCUUCCUGGUGACUAAAUAAUUUGAUUAUACUUUGACUUGUUAAUAAUCUUUUCAGAUCUCUUUUUUGGUAACAUGUCUAAUGGUCUCUUCUGGUCAUUUCUGUGUGGGGUUAUUGUACUUAUUCCACUUAAUUAGUAGACUUCUUCCUAUAUUUUAACUAUGAUUCCUUUGUCAGUUUUAAAUAUUGAAAAUGACUUCUCCAUGUUAAGAAAAUUUUAGAUUUAAAAAACUUUGUAUUUUAAUGUCAUCUAUUAAUUUAUUUGUUGAUUUUUAGUUGUGUUUGUUUGCUUGCUUUUGUUUUUAAAAAAGUCUUUAUCACCUUUAGGUUACAUGCAUAUCUUCUUGUGUUUUUUUCCUAAAAAUGUUAAAAGGUUUGUGUGGCAGUCAUAAUUCUAAAGAUGCUUAUUUCCCAGCAUUGCUGCCCCUUCCCCACUUUUUUUUUUCAGUCAAACCUUAAACUAGGUAUUGCCAUGAGGGAAUUUUGACUAUAUCAUUUAAGACCCAACUUAAUUGACCUUUAUAUUUGGAAAUUCUGCUGGGUGGCCUUUACUCAAUCAAGCAAGUCUUUAAAAGCUGAGUUUUCUCCAGGUAGUGGCAGCAGCAAGAGCAGCAGCAGAAUAAGAAGCCAGAGAGUUUCAAAGGACUAGAAAGGUGUGAUGGAUUUUGGUUGCUUGACCAUGGGGGGUCCAUAUGAAGAGAAAUGUAGGUGGUAUUGAGAAGUUGAGACUGGUGCCUGACUGACAGCCUGUGAGGAUUUAGGAACCUUAGUUCUACAACCACAAGGAACUGAAUUCAGCCGACAAACUAAAUGAGGCUGGAAGCAGGUUAUUCUCCUGAGCCUCCAGACUGGAGACCAACCUGGCCAGCACCUUGAUCUGGACUUUGUGAGAAUCUAAGCAGAGAAACCAUCUGAGAUCACCUGGGGUUCUGAUCUACAGAACUGUAAGAUCAUAAAUCAAUGUGAUUUUAAGCAACAAAGACUGUAGAAUUUGUUAUAUAGCAACAAAAUAUUAAUAUUUUUGCUUUUAAAUUUCCAUUUUUAAUGUAAGAACUUACUGAGGAUCUAAUUUUAUUUUUUCCCUAUAGAUAAACAAUAGUAUAUUAUAGAAACUAGGGAUCCAUUUUCAUUUUUUUCACAUAGAUGACCAGUUGUUAUCCACUGUUUACUAUCCAUACUUAACCUAGAAGACUCUAAAGUUAAUCUAUACUAUCUUUUUUUAAAACAGAGAACUUUAUAACUCUUUAUUUUUGAAUUUUUAUUGGUCAUCCUCUCCCUGAUAUGUGGUUAUUUUCCAAUAUUUUGACCUGUUUUCACUUCAAAAGUCAACCAUUGAUAUUAUUGUGAAGAUAUUAUUGUUAUUACUAUUAUUAGGGUAUUCUUAUUACCUUAUAAUAUGGUUUGGCUGUGACUCCACCCAAAUAUCAUCUUGAAUCGUAGUUUCCAUAAUCCCCACGAGUCAUGGCAAGAACCCAGUGAAAGGUAAUUGAAUCAUGGGGGCAGUUACCUCCAUGCUGUUCUCCUGAUAGUGAGUGAAUUCUCCUGAGAUCUGAUGGUUUUAUAAGGGACUUCCCCCGCCUUGCUCGGCACUUCUCCUUCCUGCCACUGUGUGAAGAGAGAAGUGUUUACUUCACCUUCCACCACGACUAUACAUUUCCUGAGCCUUCCCCAGCCCUGGGGAACUGUGAAUCAAUUAUACCUCUUUCCUUUAUAAAUUACCCAGUCUUGGAUAUUUUUUCAUAGCAGCGUGAGAAUGGACUAAUACCUUCUAUCAAUCCUUUAUAUUUUCCUACAACAUCGGUCCUCAGCCUUUUUGGCAUAGGAAUCGGUUUCAUGGAAGACAAUUUUUCCAUGAAAAAUGGGGGGCAUGGUUUCAGGAUGAAACUGUUUCACCUCAGAUCAUCAGGCAUUAGUUAUAUUCUAAUAAGGAGCACACAACUUGGAUUCCUCAUAUGCACAGGUCACAAUACGGUUUGUGCUCCUGUGAGAAUCUAGUUCCGCCAUUGAUCUAAGAGGAAGAGGAGCUCAGGCUGCAAUGCUAGUCACCUCCUGCUGUGUGCCUCGGUUUCUAACAGGCCAAGGACUGGUACAGGUCUGUGGCGGGGGGUUGGGGACCCCUGCCCUACAAGUUUAGUUCUUCUUCCACAUCAUUCCUUAUUAAUUUCAUUCCUCACAUCUCAAACCUUCCAAGAUUCUUUUCAUUAUUUCCGAAUUUUCUGUAGUAAAAUUGCAUUGGUUAUAAACAUGAGAUUUUUGCAGUGUUUAAUAUUAUAGUAGCAGUUAUCAAGGGAAGUGCUGAAGGUACCUUGUUAAUCAUUAAUUUCACCAUUUCAUUUUACAGAUGAGAAAAGUGAGCCCCAGAAUGGCAAAAAUGAAACAAUGUAAAAUUUUUAGAUAGAAAAAAUAGUCCAUUAUUUUUGUUUACAACUUAUGAUUUAUCUGUUUUUUUCUAAGGCCUCACAGAAACUCAGCAGGAAAACCGGGAUAAAAUUUCCAGACUUCUGGUUUUCUUGGUCUAAUAUUCUCUCCGCUAUUCAUUACACUACAUUCCCUCUCAUUAUGAAACAAUUCCCAUUUAUUUUCACCUCGUCUUCCUGCUAUGACAUCUUGUCUGGUUUUCAGACAUGUGAGGAAAGUUCAAUGAGGGGAUACAGCACUGAAAAUGCUCUUUUUGAGUGUCUUUGUUUGAAAACAACAGUAGGUGUUUCUAACAGCAUCUACAUAGCCAGUUUCCAAAAUUUAUCCCAGUAUUGCAGUGCUUGAAUGACAAAAUAAUGAUCCUGCUUUGUUACCCUGCUGCUAGUACCUAUCAAAUAAAAUUGUCUGUCGCUGCUCAUUUAUAGAGGAAAUCCUGAGAGUAUUGAUUUUUAAUUAUUUCCCUUGAGCAUCAGUUGUAUUAUAUUUCAUUUAAUGGAUACAAAUGGGGGAGGUGAAAUCAUC